UUGAAGGCUGAAUUAUUAGGAUGAUUUGGUAAAUUACAGUGAAACCUUUGCUACUCGAUGUAUGUGUAUGCAUGAUAUGUGUAUGUGUGAUUUUAGAUUGUAAUGUAUCACAAUUUCGUGGCAUGAAAAUUGACAUUUUUAGACUUACCCUGUGGUGAGAUUUUUGCAUGAUUUUUUUUUUGGGGGUUUGUGGGGUUUUUUUAGAGAUUUAUCUGUGAAAGCAUUGUUAUAUGAUUUUUUUUAAUGUGGGUUUUGAUUGUUUGGUUAUAAUUUUGGGUAUCUGUUUUGGUUUUUUGAAUCGGUUUUUGUGUAAGUCAAAGUUUUGUGGAUGAUCGUUGGUUCUGAACGAAUCGAGUUACAUAUAUGGCUUUGCUUCCCAUCUACUGAAAAGGUUACCCUUCUUCUCUCUACAAAUUCCCUUCUAACUGUCCGCACUUUUACAAAACCAAAAACCAAUUUUAUAAAUUUUGAUCACAUUUUUCUUCAGAUUACAGAGAGAGAAAGGGUUGUAUAUUUUUUCUAUAUUCAGAGAGAGAGGAUUUGAGGUGGGUGGAGUGAUGAGUGUUUAGGAUUUUUUAUGGGAGGGAUGAGAAAAGAGUAAAAACGAUCAGGAAAAUCGAAUUCUUUCUCUGAAAGUUCAUCAACACUUUGUAAGAACUCCAAUUCUUUCUCUCAUAUUUCAUCUGGUUCUGUUAAUUUUUGCAAAUUUUCAGAUUAUGGGUCGUUCCCAAUUUCCAUUUUUUCUUUGGGGUUUAUGUUGUUUUGAUGGAAAAAGGUCGUAUUAGCAAAUAGAUGAUAUUUCAAAAUUACGGUCGUCGGAUUCACUUAUUUUUGUUCAUCUCUAAUUUUCUGGAUUUUUCCAUGUACGUUACAGAAUUUACUGACAUUUGAUAAAUGUUAAGCGAAGUUCGUCAAUGAAUCUCUCAAGGUGCUCGAAGCUGAUAUUCAGUUCGCCAACACUUUAUGUCCAUGAAUUUUACGGACUUCCUAUGUAAUCCUUGCCUCAGAAAGCAAUCUCGAUGUCGUUGCUGGUGGAGGAACGCCGUCAUAUGAGCCCCGGAGCACGCUGCUGCUGUACAAGAGAAACAAAGAUUGGAGGGGCUGUGCCGCCGUUCAGUUACUCUUGGGCACUUGAGGAGGUGUGAUCAUAUGCCUCACUUCGGGAAUUGAUAUUAGGAGGUGUUAAAUGGACCGUUGGAAUUGAGUUUCGAGUCUCUGAGGGACAUAAUGAGAUGGGUUAUUGAUGAAAGGGUUUGGAGGAGAAGGUGGACAAGAAACCAGUGCAUUGGAUGCACAAUAUCAGUGAUGAACACUUUUCCUUAUCUUUGUUUAGAAAAAAUUUGAAAGAGCCACUGGUUUUGAACGUGCUUAAAUGCAAGAUUAUUUGCAAAAUUUUGUUUAAAUUUUUUAAUGUUUAGAUUUUUAUUCCAUAAAAAUUGUGAGAGGAAAUAUAUAAUGAUAGACAAAAAACUAUGUUAAACAAGUUUGGAUGGUUUAAAUUAUAGAAUUAUUUUGGUUGAUGGUAGAGACGGUUUCAAAUCCCGCGGCAGAGCGCGGGCAUUCCUGCUAGUAUUCUCUAAAUCUCAUUGAUAUAAAACUUGUACAAUCACAACAAUCUAAUCAUAUGUAAAUCUUUACCUUAAUAUUUCAGAAAUCGUUCUCCAAUCAUCAAAUAGGCUUCAAAGCCCUCAAAUCGUGCAAGAACAAGCUUGAAAUUGAAAAUUUGACUCUAAUUAGCCAUAAACCCCAAUUUGAACGAAUUAUUCAAAUUUAAGUAAUAAUCCUCAAAAUUUACCUUCAAACGUUGAGUUCAAUUCACUGAGCAUGUAAACAAAAACAGUUCAUCAAUUAAAUUCCCAGUUCGAAAAAUGCUACGAACUCGUGGUCUCACCUACUUUCAACCUAUCACCUCAAAAUAAUCAUUGCUCUCAUGUAAAAUUAUAACUCAUUUAAAAUGAAUCAUAAAUUGUAAAAAUCGAAGACACUUCGAAAUUCAUUAUAAGUACUUUAAAAAUUUAUGGUCUCACACACAGAACUUUGCUUAAGAUUCACUGGGAGCGGACAAGCAAUCCAAUCUGAGAAAGUCACCCCAGACUACAAUGCGCAUAUUGAAGAUUUCAACAGGGCAAAUCAUGGAACAAGUCUUUUUUUUGUUGUCUUAUUUUUUGCAAGUUAUCUCAAGAGCCAGGCCACUAUCUCAAAUCUGAUAAAUGCACGGGUAAGCUCGGAGCAAAGGAUUCCUCAUGAAAGUGUAACCAGCGAGAGGUUUUCAGACAGUCAAAUCGUUUCGUUCUCUCACCAUUGCAGUACAGUAAACUUUUCUUCGCUGAUAAUUUGGAGGGGAUGCCUGUUGUUCUAUAAGCGGGGAUUCCUCCUUUUUGAGGAAGUAUUUCUGUUUCUCAUCUCUUUGGAGACGGCAUCAUCUCCCUGGAACCUACGAGCUUGGUUUGGGUUCCGACGUCAAUCCGCCAAUUCCAGCGACGUCCAGUUGGUCUCAAACCAUUCUCCAUAAUCUAAGUGUUUGAGUAGCAUAGAUUGUUGAGGAAUUCAACAAAAAGUUUUCCAGAUAAAGCCCGCUUUCUUGUUUCCAAGUAGCCUAUUGGUGCUGUAUUGGCCGCUCGGUAAUCUAAAUCCUGGUCAAGGAGAGGAAUUAUCCUACAAAUGCUAAGAGAUGAUAUAAUCAUUACAAGGAACUCAAUCCAACAACACUUUUAUUACUCUUAAAUGCAUCCUGUGAACCUUGAGCUGAAGUAUGCUGGAUUUAGGUUGGUUUAAAGAGCAUUUUGUGAUUUGUUUGGCACUGAGAUUUAAUCUAGUUGGUAGGCCCUUGCAUUGGCUUUUUGUUGGUAUUGUUAAACCGUGUGGAGAUACUGAAAAAGUAAAGGAAAUUAGAUGAUGGCAAUGAAAGUGAAUGUGUGUCAGAGGCAGGAGAUAUUCGGGAUCGGGGCUCCUCACAGAAACAGGCACAGUGAGAGUGGCAGCAUCCACUUGUUUCCUUGAGAGGGCAUUCAGCUCCAAUCCUAUGGGUUCUGGGGUCGUGACCUUGCUGCAUCCAAAACAAUUUCGCCUGUUUCUCCCUUGCUUGAGGAAAUCAUAUCUCCUAUUUCCAGUGAUGCGAUCAUACAUGAGGACAAAAAGAAAGUGACUUUUAGGACAAUACGAUAAGGUUGCCAAAAUUCUUGGAGUACAGUUCAUGCAUGGUUCAUUUAGUUGUGUUUGGCAGUCUCCAGGAUCUUAACGAGAUAUUUGCCGCAAAAGUUGUUUGGUCCUGGAGUUGUUAAUGAACAAGCAACCAAACCAUUGUCUACCUUGAUCUUCCUUUUAAUAUGGUCUUAACGAGAUAUCUGCCGCAAAAGUUUUUUGGUCCUGGAGUUGUUUAUGAACAAGCAACCAAACCAUUGUCUACCUUGAUCUUCCUUCUAAUAUGGUUGGUUCUUUCUUGAUGGGGUGGUUGGGUGUUGUUUUCGAAGGAGAUAUAUCCUAUACGUCCGAUUAUUUGCCAUUGGAUUGUCAGCCGGUUACAUAGGAAGCCUUACAACUUUCAGCUGUUGGAAGCAGAAAAUGCUUGAACUCAGUGCUGAAGGCCAUUGGAUGUUCGCUCUGCUCGGUUUUCUAAUAGCUAUGCCAAGCAUGAUGUUUCAAUUUCAUUGAGUCUAGCUGGUUUCAGCUUUGAUGCCUAUUGUCACAUUCCA